AGCCCGCUCGCCGGAAGACCAAGGGUUCCUGUCCAACGUUAAUCGGGGCAGGGUGAGUCGACCCCUAAGGCGAGGCCGAAAGGCGUAGUCGAUGGGAAACAGGUUAAUAUUCCUGUACUUGGUGUUACUGCGAAGGGGGGACGGAGAAGGCUAUGUUGGCCGGGCGACGGUUGUCCCGGUUUAAGCGUGUAGGCUGGUUUUCCAGGCAAAUCCGGAAAACCAAGGCUGAGGCGUGAUGACGAGGCACUACGGUGCUGAAGCGACAAAUGCCCUGCUUCCAGGAAAAGCCUCUAAGCAUCAGGUAACAUCAAAUCGUACCCCAAACCGACACAGGUGGUCAGGUAGAGAAUACCAAGGCGCUUGAGAGAACUCGGGUGAAGGAACUAGGCAAAAUGGUGCCGUAACUUCGGGAGAAGGCACGCUGAUAUGUAGGUGAAGCGACUUGCUCGUGGAGCUGAAAUCAGUCGAAGAUACCAGCUGGCUGCAACUGUUUAUUAAAAACACAGCACUGUGCAAACACGAAAGUGGACGUAUACGGUGUGACGCCUGCCCGGUGCCGGAAGGUUAAUUGAUGGGGUUAGCGGCAACGCGAAGCUCUUGAUCGAAGCCCCGGUAAACGGCGGCCGUAACUAUAACGGUCCUAAGGUAGCGAAAUUCCUUGUCGGGUAAGUUCCGACCUGCACGAAUGGCGUAAUGAUGGCCAGGCUGUCUCCACCCGAGACUCAGUGAAAUUGAACUCGCUGUGAAGAUGCAGUGUACCCGCGGCAAGACGGAAAGACCCCGUGAACCUUUACUAUAGCUUGACACUGAACAUUGAGCCUUGAUGUGUAGGAUAGGUGGGAGGCUUUGAAGUGUGGACGCCAGUCUGCAUGGAGCCGACCUUGAAAUACCACCCUUUAAUGUUUGAUGUUCUAACGUUGGCCCGUAAUCCGGGUUGCGGACAGUGUCUGGUGGGUAGUUUGACUGGGGCGGUCUCCUCCUAAAGAGUAACGGAGGAGCACGAAGGUUGGCUAAUCCUGGUCGGACAUCAGGAGGUUAGUGCAAUGGCAUAAGCCAGCUUGACUGCGAGCGUGACGGCGCGAGCAGGUGCGAAAGCAGGUCAUAGUGAUCCGGUGGUUCUGAAUGGAAGGGCCAUCGCUCAACGGAUAAAAGGUACUCCGGGGAUAACAGGCUGAUACCGCCCAAGAGUUCAUAUCGACGGCGGUGUUUGGCACCUCGAUGUCGGCUCAUCACAUCCUGGGGCUGAAGUAGGUCCCAAGGGUAUGGCUGUUCGCCAUUUAAAGUGGUACGCGAGCUGGGUUUAGAACGUCGUGAGACAGUUCGGUCCCUAUCUGCCGUGGGCGCUGGAGAACUGAGGGGGGCUGCUCCUAGUACGAGAGGACCGGAGUGGACGCAUCACUGGUGUUCGGGUUGUCAUGCCAAUGGCACUGCCCGGUAGCUAAAUGCGGAAGAGAUAAGUGCUGAAAGCAUCUAAGCACGAAACUUGCCCCGAGAUGAGUUCUCCCUGAGACUUAGAGUCUCCUGAAGGAACGUUGAAGACGACGACGUUGAUAGGCCGGGUGUGUAAGCGCAGCGAUGCGUUGAGCUAACCGGUACUAAUGAACCGUGAGGCUUAACC
rnacentral:rRNA from 1 species